CAGUCUCUUAUUUAUCUUGAUAGCCAUUACUGGAAAGGAAAAAAAUUCUGUCCUAUGAAGGAGAGAGGAGGAAUAGCUACAGAACUAGAGCUGACUUAACUUUAUCUACCUCUAACUGGAGCCCAAGGAACUCCCCUCCAAUGGCAACAAUAGUACAUCUUCUCAUGCCAAGACAUCCUGAGUGAAUUGGUCUCACAAAUCCCAUAACAGGUGGCCACUAUUUCCAUGAUCCAGCCCUGUUCCUCUGCUACUUAAAAAAAUACAAAGAAAAAAUAGCUGAAAGUUCUGGUUACUUUGGAACAUGGAUAGGCAUUGCAUCAGACCCAGCAUCAUUCAUUAUCCACGUUAGCAGCUGCUAAUUGCCAGGCAGCCUUUGGAAGAAGCAUCUUUUGGACAAGAACAAGGGGAGGGUGGGAAGCACCCAAAUAAUUUUAUAGGGGAGGAAAACAAACAGAGAAGAGUGAGAGAAAGGGAAAUUGAGAGCAUUUGGGCAAAGAAACUGGAGCUGUAAUGCAGUAAAGUAAUAGGCCUGACUAGAAUCAGGUUAGUUGGUAGAAGGAAUAUGCUACACCAAACACAAGGGAAGAAGAAAGAUCAGAGCUCAGGUGGGGAGCCAGGCAGUGGUGGACAAAAGGUGGAGAUGGAGAACACCAGUCUAACAGUACCAGGAGAUGAGAUGCAUGUGAUGGCAAAGGCCAGGAUAGGAGAUACCCAUGAUAAGCUACAUGGGAGUAUCAUUUUAAUGUCACAUUACAACAUUUUUGUACCUUUUCUACUUUAAAAUACAAGCCAAAUUGUUACUGUAAUUCUCAAUGUUAAAAACAAGUAAGUAUUUUCAGCUGGUAAAGUCAAGACUUAGGGUCUUAAAAAAACAGCUGUGCAAUGCUAAUGUGUACCUCUUGUACACCAACAUGUUAAUACAGCCUAUAUUAACAGGACUACCUGCUGCUCUUUCCCUCUACUUAUUUCUCUUGUGCAUUUUCUUUCAUGGCUGAGGUAUGAAUCGUUCCAGCACGUGCCUUUAAUUCAUAAAUAUUAGGUAGGCUGUUUCUUCCCCCACUGAGUAUGACUGCAAUUAAAUGUAUUUUUUCAAAUGAAGCUGUUAAUAUUCAUUAACAACAUCUUUCAGAGCUCUAGACUGCGGCUCAGAUUCAUAGGUACACCUGCUAACUAUAGUUCAGUUGAGAACGCUUUUUAAUGGAAUUCUCCCUCCUUAAAUAUCACAAGAAGCAAAUCCAUUUAAACCUCAUCAUAUUGAAGGAUACAUUUAAUGAUCCAGCUGGACACCGGACCAUUAAAUGUCAAAAUUAUUCAAGAAAGAGUAUGUUCUCUUUCCAGGAUAGCAGAGCUAUUCCUGUGCUUUUUGUAGUUUGCAGUGGGUACUCACAGCUCUGUUGUUUCCUACAACUAAAAGCAAAAUCAAAUAUAAACCUGUAUAAACAGAGAAUCGUAUGAGUUUCAUAGGCUUAAGCCUAACUAACCAAAAA